ensembl:lncRNA
GCUGCUGCUGCUAAGUCACUUCAGUCGUGUCUGACUCUCUGCGACCCCAUAGACGGCAGCCCACCAGGCUCCUCCAUCCCUGGGAUUCUCCAGACACAGAAACAAAAGCAACUACCCAAGAGAUCCUGAAGCGAGGAACAUGUCCAGCCAGGAGGAGAACCCAGCUCUUCUAAGGAUCCUGUAGUCUUCUCAGGAAGGCCACGGCCUCCACUGAGAACAGGCCUGUGCACUUGUUUCCCUAGUCAACAGAGAACCAGAAACCUCCCCUCUGCUAGGAGCUGGGGAGAGGAGCCAGCGAGGGGACUGGCUGAACAGCGGGUGCUGCAGGAUAACAGCUGGCUGUGUGCAGGGUUGUGAGAACACAUCUCUGCUUUGUGGUGUUUGCCAUCAUUUUCUAGGGUAUAAACGCUCCCACCGUGGCUGAUUUCAAGCUACCAGCAUUAUGCCACUGACUGCAGAGCUGGGAAGGAGUGAACAUGAUCAGCUCUCGCGAGUUUGCACAAACUGGCUCCUGCACACCACUGGCCCAGGGUGAGGAAGGAGGAAGCCCUUCUGUGGAGCACAACUUGUCCCAGACUACGGGAGCCACGGACACCCCUUUAGGAGCAAGCUGAUGGUAUCUGGAGAGGAAAGAGGGCUGGGCUGAGAGGGAAGCGGAAGAGUACAGAUGAGAAAACACGAGUUGAGUCCUGACUUGCCCAUCAGGGCCCAGCACGCAGUCACUGCCACUCAGACCCAAUCAGGUUCAGCCAGUUGGGUGUCCUGCUUCUAGCAACCACUCCUGGUUUGGCAAAUAUUUAUGCGGCAUGUUACUAAGGACGGCCUCCCAACCCCCGAGGGUGAAAGGCCCAUGAGGCAACUUCUAGGGGAAAGGUCCCAGGAUUCCUACAACCCUGGGAAAAUAAGGUCCAGGGCCCAGUAGGAACUGCUAGACUAGGAGAUGAAGUCGGGGAUUUACCUGGACCAGCUCCCUGCCCCUCCUCAGCCCCUCUCACCAGCAUCCCUCUCGUGGCCAUGUGAAGCAACAAGCCCUAGGGAGGGGGUUGAAUCUUCUGCCUCCAUCCCCAAGGAAGUUCAGCCUGUUGUUCAGUCACCAAGUUGUGUCCAACUCUUUGCAACCCCAUGGGCUGCAGUAUGCCAGCCUUCACUAUCUCCCAGAAUUUGCUCUAACUCAUUGUCCAUUGAGUCGGUGAUGCCAUCCAACCACCUCAUCCGUUGUUGCCCCUUUCUCCUCCUGCUCUUAAUCUUUCGAAGAAUCAGGGCCUUUUCCAACAGGUCAGCUCUUCACAGCAGGUGGCCAAAGUAAUGGAGCUUCAGCUUCAGCCUCAGUCCUUCCAAUCAAUAUUCAGGGUUGAUUUCCUUUAGGACUGACUGGUUUGGUCUCCUUGCUUUCAGACUUCAGCCUGAGAGAAUAGUAUUUUCAAAACUGCAAGUUACAGGACUUCCCUGGUGGUCCAGAGAUUAAGAAUCCACCUUCCAAUGCAGGGGACGCAGAUUCGAUCCCUGGUCAGGAUGAGAUGGCUGGAUGGCAUCACCAAUUCAAUGGACAUGAGUUUGAGCAAGAUCCGGGAGUUGGUGACGGACAGGGAAGCCUGGUGUGCUGCAGUGCAUGCGGUCACAAAGAGUCAGACACGACUGAGCAACUGAACUGAACUGAACAGGGAACUAAGAUCCCACAUGGGGCAACUAAGCCUGUGCACCCCAACUACUGAGCCCAUGCUCUCUCGAGCCCAUGUCCCAUGACAAGAGAAGUCCACAGACGGCAACUAGAGAAACCCACACACUCCAGUGAAGACCCAGGGCAACCAGAAAAAAACAACUGCAAGUUACAGUUCACUAGGGUUGUGAACUUGGGUUCAGUAGGGUUCACAACCUACUAGUAGGUUGUGAAAUUAAUUUAAUGGAUGUCAACCAGCAUAUCAGAGUGUAUCACCAUAAAAUUUUGUUCAAAAAAAAAUUGUGUUCACUGUGCGUUAUGUCCGUAUAAAUAUAUACAGAAC